rnacentral:rRNA from 1 species
UGAUUACGAAUUCGCCCUUAGAGUUUGAUCAUGGCUCAGAUUGAACGCUGGCGGCAGGCCUAACACAUGCAAGUCGAGCGGAAACGAGUUAUCUGAACCUUCGGGGAACGAUAACGGCGUCGAGCGGCGGACGGGUGAGUAAUGCCUAGGAAAUUGCCCUGAUGUGGGGGAUAACCAUUGGAAACGAUGGCUAAUACCGCAUGAUGCCUACGGGCCAAAGAGGGGGACCUUCGGGCCUCUCGCGUCAGGAUAUGCCUAGGUGGGAUUAGCUAGUUGGUGAGGUAAGGGCUCACCAAGGCGACGAUCCCUAGCUGGUCUGAGAGGAUGAUCAGCCACACUGGAACUGAGACACGGUCCAGACUCCUACGGGAGGCAGCAGUGGGGAAUAUUGCACAAUGGGCGCAAGCCUGAUGCAGCCAUGCCGCGUGUGUGAAGAAGGCCUUCGGGUUGUAAAGCACUUUCAGUCGUGAGGAAGGUAGUGUAGUUAAUAGCUGCAUUAUUUGACGUUAGCGACAGAAGAAGCACCGGCUAACUCCGUGCCAGCAGCCGCGGUAAUACGGAGGGUGCGAGCGUUAAUCGGAAUUACUGGGCGUAAAGCGCAUGCAGGUGGUUUGUUAAGUCAGAUGUGAAAGCCCGGGGCUCAACCUCGGAAUAGCAUUUGAAACUGGCAGACUAGAGUACUGUAGAGGGGGGUAGAAUUUCAGGUGUAGCGGUGAAAUGCGUAGAGAUCUGAAGGAAUACCGGUGGCGAAGGCCGCCCCCUGGACAGAUACUGACACUCAGAUGCGAAAGCGUGGGAGCAAACAGGAUUAGAUACCCUGGUAGUCCACGCCUAAACGAUGUCUACUUGGAGUUGUGGC